UCCAACAUUAACUCUGCUCAACAUGCUGUCUCUGCUCACAUCUGGAUUCACUCUGCUGGUUCUGAUCACUGGAUCAGGUGUAAACUGCCAACAACUCACUGCAGCAAAGACUGAGGAGUUCAGUUCAGAGGGCAGCUCUGUUACUCUGACCUGCAGUUACUCUAAAACUGCUGUUUAUGAUGAUUAUAUCUUCUGGUAUCGUCAAUAUCCUGGAAAAUCUCCACAGUUCCUGAUCUCCCACUCAGGAACAGGAACACAAACAUCUCAGCCGUUUCCUGGUUUCUACUUCAACAUGAAUGAUGAUAAAACCCAGAUGGAUCUGCUGAUCUCCUCUGCUGCAGUGACAGACUCUGCUGUGUACUACUGCGCUGUGAGGCCCACAGUGACAGGAAACACCAGAACCCUGAACAAAAACCUGCAGUACUGCACAGCAGCCACCAGAGGGCGCCAUGCUCCAGUAGGCGGCGCUCUCCUUGUGCUCUGUGCUCCAGCAUUGUGUCAAUAA